CCUACGGGAGGCAGCAGUGAGGAAUAUUGGUCAAUGGCCGUAAGGCUGAACCAGCCAAGUAGCGUGAGGGAAGACUGCCCUAUUGGUUGUAAACCUCUUUUAUGCGGGGGUAAAGGUGUCCACGUGUGGGUGUUUGAAGGUACCGCAUGAAUAAGCAUCGGCUAAUUCCGUGCCAGCAGCCGCGGUAAUACGGAGGGUCCGGGCGUUAUCCGGAUUUGUUUGGUUUAAAGGGUGCGUAGGCCGGUCUAUAAGUGUGCGGUGAAAUUUUGUGGCUCAAACACGACAGUGCGGCGAGUACUGGAGACGUAGAGUGCGCGGAAGGCAGGCGGAAUUCGUGGUGUAGCGGUGAAAUGCUUAGAUAUAACGAAGAACCCCGAUUGCGAAGGCAGCUUGCCGCAGCGUUACUGACGCUGAAGCACGAAAGCGCGGGUAGCGAACAGGAUUAGAUACCCUAGUAGUC
rnacentral:rRNA from 1 species